GCCGGGUGUAGUGGUGCACGCCUGUAGUCCCAGCUACUCAGGAGGCUGAGGUGGGAUGAUCACUUGAGCCUGGGAGGUCUAGGCUGCAGUGAGCCAAGAUCACGCCACUGCAUUCCAGCCUGAGCAACACGAUGAGACCCUGUCUCAC
rnacentral:SRP_RNA from 1 species